rnacentral:lncRNA from 1 species
UUUAUAAGAGAUUUAUUGUGACAGGGGGGAUAGUUUAUGCUUGCUUUCUCAUUCAUAGAGUUUGGACCACAGGGGUUAAACAACUCCCCUGGGAUGAGCACACCAGAAGUAACAAGAGUGAUUCAACAGUCCUUACUCACUAGGAAGGGCAUGUCAAAGCCAGAAGCUACAGGACCCUGACAUAAAAGAAUCUUCUGGCGUUAUUCUGGAAACAGUGAAAGAAACUGCAAGUAUUGUUAAUAAACCAGUUAAUAAGCCAUCUCCUCCCA